AAUAUGUAUUUAUAUUUUUGCUCUUUGGUUUUGGCAGUGGCCAAAGAGAGAUGUCAAAGGGGAUGUGGACAUCAUCGUUCAGCAAGCACCAAACACGCUGUGCCACCACUGUGGCUUGAAGGCCUACCACCUUCAGAACGCCAAGGCUAACCAAUGGAAUACCACUGGGUCUGGUCGUACGAGGAACCUAAAAAUUGUAUACCACAGAUUCAGGCAUGGAUUACAUGAAGGAACACCACCUAAACCCAAGAGGGCAGCUGGUUGCAGCGUCUCAUUCAUCUUAAGGAUUUCAGUGAUUAGUCAUUCAAUAAAAUACAAAAUAUAUUUAAAU